AGGAUGGGCAUGCGGCGCAUUAGCUGGUUGGCGGGGUAACGGCCCACCAAGGCGACGAUGCGUAGGGGUUCUGAGAGGAAGGUCCCCCACACUGGUACUGAGACACGGACCAGACUCCUACGGGAGGCAGCAGUGAGGAAUAUUGGUCAAUGGGCGGGAGCCUGAACCAGCCAAGUCGCGUGAGGGAAGACGGUCCUAUGGAUUGUAAACCUCUUUAGGCGGGGAGCAAUGCCGGGCACGCGUGCCCGGAGGGAGAGUACCCGCAGAAUAAGCAUCGGCUAACUCCGUGCCAGCAGCCGCGGUAAUACGGAGGAUGCGAGCGUUAUCCGGAUUUAUUGGGUUUAAAGGGUGCGUAGGCGGAUUUUUAAGUCAGCGGUAAAAUGUCCGGGCUCAACCCGGGCCGGCCGUUGAAACUGGGGAUCUUGAGUGGGCGAGAAGUAUGCGGAAUGCGUGGUGUAGCGGUGAAAUGCAUAGAUAUCACGCAGAACUCCGAUUGCGAAGGCAGCAUACCGGCGCCCGACUGACGCUGAGGCACGAAAGCGUGGGGAUCGAACAGGAUUAGAUACCCUGGUAGUCCACGCAGUAAACGAUGAAUGCUAGUUGUCCGGUUCUUUGGGACUGGGUGAC
rnacentral:rRNA from 1 species